AGUGAACGCUGGCGGUAGGCCUAACACAUGCAAGUCGAACGGCAGCACAGUAAGAGCUUGCUCUUACGGGUGGCGAGUGGCGGACGGGUGAGGAAUACAUCGGAAUCUACUUUUUCGUGGGGGAUAACGUAGGGAAACUUACGCUAAUACCGCAUACGACCUACGGGUGAAAGCAGGGGAUCUUCGGACCUUGCGCGAUUGAAUGAGCCGAUGUCGGAUUAGCUAGUUGGCGGGGUAAAGGCCCACCAAGGCGACGAUCCGUAGCUGGUCUGAGAGGAUGAUCAGCCACACUGGAACUGAGACACGGUCCAGACUCCUACGGGAGGCAGCAGUGGGGAAUCUUGGACAAUGGGCGCAAGCCUGACCCAGCCAUACCGCGUGGGUGAAGAAGGCCUUCGGGUUGUAAAGCCCUUUUGUUGGGAAAGAAAAGCAGCAGGUUAAUACCCCGCCGUUCUGACGGUACCCAAAGAAUAAGCACCGGCUAACUUCGUG
rnacentral:rRNA from 1 species